rnacentral:pre_miRNA from 1 species
UUAGUACUCCCUCCGUCCGGAAAUACUUGUCAUCAAAAUGAAUAAAAUGGGAUGUAUCUAGAUAUAUUUUAGUUUGAGAUGCAUAUCUUUUUAUACAUUUUGAUGACAAGUAUUUUCGGACGGAGGGAGUACGUU